rnacentral:misc_RNA from 1 species
AAAGUCGUAACAAGGUUUCCGUAGGUGAACCUGCGGAAGGAUCAUUAACAAUUUUACUUGGUUUGGGACUUGUCUCUUUCCAUUUUAUACACCUGUGAACCGUUUUGUUUCGGUUUCCGCUGGAUCGCAAGUGAAGGCGGAUUCCAACCAUUACUCUUGUUUGCGCAAGCAGACUUUGUAGUGGCGUCUAACGACACUUGUUGUCACCAGAAAUAUUCAGUGUUUGGAUUGAGUAAAUGGAUAAUACAACUUAUAACAAUGGAUCUCUUGGCUCUU